AGGUUGUGUUGAGGACACUUCCUCAAGAGCUUCUUAAAGCGCUCCAAAGCCUCAUAUAAGUUCUCAUCAGCCGCUUGAGCAAAUGUCAUGAAGUCAUUCUUGAGCUU